rnacentral:rRNA from 1 species
UACGGGGGGGGGCAAGCGUUGUUCGGAAUUACUGGGCGUAAAGGGCUCGUAGGUGGCCAACUAAGUCAGACGUGAAAUCCCUCGGCUUAACCGGGGAACUGCGUCUGAUACUGGAUGGCUUGAGAUUGGGAGAGGGAUGCGGAAUUCCAGGUGUAGCGGUGAAAUGCGUAGAUAUCUGGAGGAACACCGGUGGCGAAGGCGGCAUCCUGGACCAACACUGACGCUGAGGCGCGAAAGCGUGGGGAGCGAACAGG